UUCUUAUUUGGAACCAAGAGUCAAAGUUCACAAUGAAAAGCGAAAGCAGAAAGUAGAGUGAUAAAACAACUUACUUUCAAACUGAAAAUAUCUCAUGCUGUCAUAAACAUGGUGAGCUGAAGCACAGCUCAAGCCCGGACCCAGCCAGCUGGGCGCCCCAACUCUGGCCCCGGC